rnacentral:lncRNA from 1 species
UGAAUCUUUUUACAAGAAAGUAGAGUGUAACUAGAAAAUUAAAAAUGAGCACUGGAGCCAGGUGCAGUGGCUCAUGUCUAUAAUCCCAGCACUUUGGGAGGCUGAGGUGGGAGGAUCUCUUGACUCCAGGAGUUUGAGACCAGCUUGGGCAACAUAGGGAGAACCUGUCUCUACAAAAAAUAAAAAUUCAGCCAAGCAUGGUAUGUAUGCCUGUGGUUUCAACUACUUGGGAGGUUGAGAUGGGAAGAUCACCUGAGCCCAGGAGGUUGAGGUUGCAGUGUGACAUGAUCACACCACUGCACUCCAGCCUGGGCGACAGAGUGCGAUCCUGUCUCAAAAUAAAUAAAUAAAUAAAUAAAUAAAUAAAUAAAUAAAGCACUGUUUUUAUUCUUUAAUUCAGAUGUUACUGAAAAUCUACUAUGUUCCAGGAAGGGUGUAAGGCAGUAUGGACACAAGGAUAAAGCAUGGUCUUUGUUCUCAAGAAUCACCUAGUGCAGCAGGCCCCACCAGCACACAAUUAUGUAGUAGCAUAUUGGUAGCCACUGGUGUUCACUAUGCUUGCAUAAGCUUGAACUUGAAGGAUGACUAGAUGUGGGGGAGCCAGGACGAAGGUCAUUUUGGGCUGAGAGAGAAAUAUGUGCAAAGGCCCGGAUGAGGGAGAAAUUAUGGAAUGACCAGGAAUUUGAAAGAAAUUCAUUGUCACUUGAGGGGGAGUGUGAGUCGUAUAAGAUAACGCAGUGGUAUGUCUGCAGGUAUGCUUGUUAAACAUUUACCAGCAUAUCCCUGAAGAUGAGGUUUGGAAGGUGGACAAAAAACCAGAUCAUGAAGAUGUUGCAUGUCAUGCUCAGGAGGCUGAGUUUUAUCCUGAAAGCCAUGGAGAGCUAUUGGACCAUUUAGGGUAGAGGCACGCUCAGAUUUAGGUUUAGAAAGAUAACUCAGAGAAUGGACAAGAUUGGCAUCAGGGAGACAAACUGACAGGCAGCUGCGGUGGUCAGGCCAGAGCUAUUGAGGGUGGUGGCAUUGGGGUGGAGGCAAAACAUUCAAGAGAUGCUAAGGGUGUAUCAUCAACAGGGCCCAGUGGCCAAGUUGGAUAUGCAUGGUGAUAAAGGGGGAGACCUGGUCUUUUCUGGCUUGGGCAACUGUGGGGAUAGCAGACACAUGCCUCAAGUUAGAGGAUAUGGAAAGAUAAGCAGGCUAUGGGCAUGAGGAUUAUGAGGAGCUCUGUCUAAACUUGUUUUAUCUCAUAUUUGGCAUUUACUAUAUUUUUUGUUGUAUUUUGUUACUCAUCCUUUUAGGUGGACUCUGAUCCUUCUGAGGUCCUGGAUCAGAUUAACCAACGUGGGUAUGCCCCGCACCUUUCACUCAUUACCACCCCUCAAAAGGUCACUUUGCCAAACAUGAGUACAUGGCCCCCACGCUAAGCCUGUGAGCAGCUGCAAGCCAUAUCAUCUGCACAGUUGAGCACGGCAGGAACUUUGAACCAGGACCCAAUUUCACCCUGAGGAUGUGCUUCUCCUCUGAGGGGAGCAAAGCCCCUGGCUUGACCUGGCUCCCUUCUGGGAGGGAGGACCACGUCUCAAUUUGACAGCAGGAGGCUGUAGGUCAGUGGGGUGAUGACCUGGCCCUGGGAGACCUGCUCUUUCUCUCAGCAGAACCCCAUAAAUCCUUCAAAAGGAAGUAAGUAAUUCCCUCGGGAUCAAGAGAGCCCUCCGCAUUCUUGAAAUAAAUGAAGGCAAAAUGUACAGGGAUUUCUGAGAAAAGUAAAUGUGGUGUGAGCAUGAUCCCUGGGUGUUACUAUGCACAGAAAAGGCUUUUUUUUUUUUUUUUUCCCCUCUCCUGAAUGGUGUUCUUUGCUCUCAAGUGAACUCAUGCACUGGAUUUGGUCCAAGUACAUUUUGUUUCUUGAUUUCCAGCCAGGCUUCUCUCAGUUGUGAUGCAUUCUCUUCUUUGCUUCCCUCCUUCCCCAGUCCUGUUCUCUCUUUUUAUAAUGCUUUCAACUUUUCCAUGUGACUGAACCAACACAGAGGAAAACCCACCAGCUUAGGUAGGGCUUCCACAAGAGUGGGGCCAGAGGGACUUCUUUGUGAACGGCCAGCCCCUCACGCAGCCCCGGCCUGCACGGCGAGGUUUGUCUGAGGCAGCUGAAGCAGAAAGCAUUUGAACUCUGCCCUCUACCAAAUGAUUUCCAGAUGUGUAAACCCCAGCCUCCCGCUGCACUCUGACUGUAGCCCUGCCAACGUACAUCUGCAGAUUCCUAGUGCACAGGAAACUUGAAAGAGUAUCUUUACAACAUCUGCUGUCUUUUCCCAGCUCUCCCUCUCUGCCUUCUCGGACUUUGCCCCGUAUUUUAUAUCCUCUCUUCAACAAAUCCAUUAGAGAACUGCUGCACAGCCCUUCUUGGCUCACAGAUGCCAGCUGUCUGUUUCACCCCAGAGCCUGUUCUUGGCUCUCUCAAGCACCACUAGAAUCAUUGACCGAAGCACCACUAGAAUCAUUAAAGAAGCUUAUUGGGCUCAUGGAGGGGAAAAAAAGGACCAAGUUUUCUCCAUUGGAUUGGUGCCAGUCUACAAGCUGCAAAGGGAGAUUUAGCCAUAAGGAGGUCAGAGCAGAGCCCUAAAGAUGGAAACACGAGUUUGCAUGGAGAGUUUGCCUGCUAUACCUGAGAGAAGGUUUUCCAAAGACAUUGGAACACCCCUGUAGCCAUAGUAGCUCUUUUUUAAAGAGGAGAGGAAUCUGUAGAUUCUUUCACAUGAGGGUGGGUGAGUAAAAGUUAAGCAAACAAUUCCCUUGUGCAUGAUUAUUUAGCUUAUGGUGAACCUAUGGUUAACUGUGGAGCUCUGAUACUCUGGCAACCUCCUAAGGGUAGAAUGCAAACUCCAUUUCUAGGCAGCAUUGCUGAUGAUAAAAAUGACCCCGAUUGGUAGAUUGCAUCUGGACUGGGAGGAACCAUAAACAAAUCAUAAUAUCUGCCAGGGACGCGAUGCUUUGUGCUUCCCUGAAAGUGGUUACGUUUUUAAGGUGCAUCUUGGGGCAAUAAAAGCAAUGUCUAGGGAGUUGUCUCAGGAGAUAUUGGCUCCUUUGAAGAGUGAGCUUUUUAAUCAGGUUAGCCCUCACAUCUGCCCAAUGUGGAACUCAUCCCUCAUACCUGAACUGCCUCUGGGUGGAAGAAAAUGCUGGAUGGCUGUGAGUUGAGAGGAUUUGAAAUGGAACACAAAGUGUAUUUGAUACUCCUAAGCCCAGGGUCAGACAGAUUCUAAGCUAGUCCUGGGUGAUGAUCUCUACCUCCUAGUAUUGUAUAAUCCUUCCCCUCGAGUAACUUGCUUCUAACAGAUAGAAUAUGCAAUAUUGAAGGUGUUACUUCUGUUACUAGGUUACAAAAAUUGUGAUUUCUGUCUUGUUAGCAAAUUCUUUCUCUUAUUGGCUUUGAUGAAGUAAGUUGAUAUGUUAGAGAGGCCUACAUGGCAAAGAACUGAGGACACCGUAUCGUUCACAGUUAGCAAGCAACCAGAGUCUUCAUUCCAGAGCCUUUGAGGAACAAAAUCCUGCCAAAAACCACAUAAGUGAGUUUGGAAGCAAAUCUUCCUUUAGUCAAACCUUCAGAUGAGAUCUCAGCCCUAUCUGACACCUUGGUUGCAGUCUUGUGAGAGUCUAAAAGUAGAAGUCUAGCUAAGCUCUCCCUGCAUUCUUGACUCUCAGGAACUGUGAGAUAAAAUAUAUAUAUAUAUUAUAUAUAUUAUUUUAAGGUGAUAAAUUUUAGGGUAGUUUGUUACUAGGAUGACCAACAGUGUUGGUUUGCCUAAGACUAACUCAAGACUGUCCCAGUUCUGGCACUGAUAAUCCUGAGUUCCAGUAAAUCCCUCAGCCUUGGACAAACUGGAACAAUUGUUACUCUAUUUGUGAUAGACAAUUAGUACAUAUAUGCAUAUGUUAUUUCUCACUUAAGCAAGUGUAUCUUCAAGAUAGACUCCUAGAAGUGGGUUUUUGGGGUCUAAACAGUAAAGUCACCUAGAAUUUUAUGUUUCUAAAUUCCCCUUCAUAAGGUUUGUACCAUUUUGUACUCCCAUCUGCAAGAUGAAAAUGCUUGUUUCUCCAUGGUCUGCUGUUUUCAUUACCAGUUUAUUUGAUAAUUAAAGCAAUUUAAUCUUUUAUUAUCUAAGUGUAAGCUGAUUCAUAGUCUCUUAGAAUAAAGAAAUACAUUUAAACAUUAAUUAACACUUGUAGAAUUGAACUGCAUGAUUUAUACUUUAUUUCGA